rnacentral:rRNA from 1 species
UACCAGCACCCGAGUGGUCGGGACGUUUAUUGGGCCUAAAGCAUCCGUAGCCGGUUCUACAAGUCUUCCGUUAAAUCCAACUGCUUAACAGGUGGGCUGCGGAAGAUACUAUAGAGCUAGGAGGCGGGAGAGGCAAGCGGUACUCGAUGGGUAGGGGUAAAAUCCGUUGAUCCAUUGAAGACCACCAGUGGCGAAGGCGGCUUGCCAGAACGCGCUCGACGGUGAGGGAUGAAAGCUGGGGAGCAAACCGG